rnacentral:piRNA from 1 species
UCCAGAUAUGAGGUUUCAAAGGUUGCUAGG